rnacentral:rRNA from 1 species
CGCCUGUUUAUCAAAAACAUGUCCUUUUGGAAUUUAUUUAAGGUUUGGGCCUGCUCAAUGAUUUAAAUAGCCGCAGUAUUUUGACUGUGCUAAGGUAGCAUAAUAAUUAGUCUUUUAAUUGAGGUCUGGAAUGAAUGGUUUGACGAAAAUUAUACUUUAUUUUUUUAAUUUAAUUUGAAUUUUAUUUUUAAGUUAAAAAGCUUAAAUUUAGGAGAGGGACGAUAAGACCCUAUAGAUCUUUAUUUUAUUUUUGAUUUUUUUUUUUUAGUUUAUUUUUAAAAUUUUUAUUAAUUAAAUUUUGUUGGGGUGACAAAUAAAAUUUUAAUCUUUAUUUUUUUUUUACAUUUUUUUAUGAAUAUUUGAUCCUUAUUUUUGAUUAAAAGAUUAAGAUACCUUAGGGAUAACAGCGUUAUAAAUCUGGAGAGUUCUUAUUGAUAGAUUUGUUUGCGACCUCGAUGUUGGAUUAAAAGUUUCUGUGGGGUAGGUUUUACAGUUUUAGGUCUGUUCGACUUUAAAAUUUUACAUGAUCUGAGUUCAGACCGG